CUAAUCUCAUAAACCCGUUCUCAGUUCGGAUUGGAGGCUGCAACUCGCCUACAUGAAGCUGGAAUCGCUAGUAAUCGCGGAUCAGCAUGCCUCGGUGAAUACGUUCCCGGGCCUUGUACACACCGCCCGUCACACCAUGAGAGUUUGUUACACCCGAAGUCGGUGGGGUAACCUUUUGGGAGGCGGCUGCCUAAGGUGGGACCGAUGAUUGGGGUGAAGUCGUAACAAGGUAGCCGUAUCGGAAGGUGCGGUUGGAUCACCUCCU
rnacentral:rRNA from 1 species